rnacentral:rRNA from 1 species
UGCCAGACUCCUACGGGAGGCCGCAGUGGGGAAUAUUGCACAAUGGGGGGCACCCUGAUGCAGCGACGCCGCGUGAGUGAAGAAGUCUUUCGGUAUGUAAAGCUCUCUCAGCAGGGAAGAUAAUGACGGUCCCUGACUAAGACGCCCCGGCUAACUACGUGCCAGCAGCCGCGGUAAUACGUAGGGGCAAGCGUUAUCCGGAUUUACUGGGUGUAAAGGGUGCGUAGGUGGCAGGGAAAGUCAGAUGUGAAAGCCCGGGGCCAAACCCCGGGACGGCAUUGGAAACUGUCCGGCUGGAGGGCAGGAGAGGUAAGCGGAAUUCCUAGGGUAGCGGGGAAAGGCGGAGAUAUUAGGAGGAACACCAGUGGCGAAGGCGGCUUACGGGACUGUAACUGACACGGAGGCACGAAAGCGGGGGGAGCAAACAGGAUUAGAUACCCUCGUA